UUUAAAAGUUUGAAAAGGUGA
rnacentral:piRNA from 1 species